CCAUUGGUCAUACCCCUAAAAUGAAAGUGGUCCGCUUUGUGCAUUUAAAAUAUUGGGAGGAAUGUCACUAAUCUUAAAUAAUAUAACAGCGUAUUCUAAACCGUCAGUUUAACUAUACUCAAAAUAUAAUGUGCCCUACACAAAUGGAAAUUCUUAGUGUUGUUCAUUUACUAAUCUGGGAUUUGUGGACAAAAGAUAAAAAGGACUGGAAAUGUUACGUCAAAG